CGCGGGGAGGGCAUGUGGCGCAGCCUGAUCCAGCCAUGCCGCGUGUGUGAAGAAGGCCUUUUGGUUGUAAAGCACUUUAAGCGAGGAGGAGGCUCCUUUAGUUAAUACCUAAAGAGAGUGGACGUUACUCGCAGAAUAAGCACCGGCUAACUCUGUGCCAGCAGCCGCGGUAAUACAGAGGGUGCGAGCGUUAAUCGGAUUUACUGGGCGUAAAGCGUGCGUAGGCGGCUUUUUAAGUCGGAUGUGAAAUCCCUGAGCUUAACUUUAGGAAUUGCAUUCGAUACUGGAAAGCUAGAGUAUGGGAGAGGAUGGUAGAAUUCCAGGUGUAGCGGUGAAAUGCGUAGAGAUCUGGAGGAAUACCGAUGGCGAAGGCAGCCAUCUGGCCUAAUACUGACGCUGAGGUACGAAAGCAUGGGGAGCAAACAGGAUUAGAUACCCUGGUAGUCCAUGCCGUAAACGAUGUCUACUAGCCGUUGGGGCCUUUGAGGCUUUAGUGGCGCAGCUAACGCGAUAAGUAGACCGCCUGGGGAGUACGGUCGCAAGACUAAAACUCAAAUGAAUUGACGGGGGCCCGCACAAGCGGUGGGAGCAUGUGGUUUAAUUCGAUGCAACGCGAAGAACCUUACCUGGCCUUGACAUACUAAGAACUUUCCAGAGAUGGAUUGGUGCCUUCGGGAACUKAGAUACAAGGUGCUGCAUGGCUGUCGUCUAGSUCGUGKCUGUGAGAUGUUGGGUUAAGUCCCGCAACGAGCGCAACCCUUUUCCUUAUUUGCCAGCGGGUUAAGCCGGGAACUUUAAGGAUACUGCCAGUGACAAACUGGAGGAAGGCGGGGACGACGUCAAGUCAUCAUGGCCCUUACGGCCAGGGCUACACACGUGCUACAAUGGUCGGUACAAAGGGUUGCUACCUCGCGAGAGGAUGCUAAUCUCAAAAAGCCGAUCGUAGUCCGGAUCGCAGUCUGCAACUCGACUGCGUGAAGUCGGAAUCGUUAGUAAUCGCGGAUCAGAAUGCCGCGGUGAAUACGUUCCCGGGCCUCGUACACACCGCCCGUCACACCAUGGGAGUUUGUUGCACCAGAAGUAGGUAGUCUAACCGCAAGGAGGACGCUUACCACGGUGUGGCCGAUGAAUGGUGGAAGUCGAAUCAAUGUGCCACCGCC
rnacentral:rRNA from 1 species